rnacentral:rRNA from 1 species
GGUCGGGCUGGGGUGCUAAGCUGGCUGGGCUCGAGCCGCGGCUGGGGGAGUAGUCACUCCGCCGCCCACCUCUCUCCGCCGCCGAACCGCACGAUGCGCGGCCCGACCCUCGGGGCCCUCGUCCUCAGCGCCUCACGGCGUCGCUGGGCGGGGGUUGCCCGGGGGCGGUGAUCGUAGUCGUGUCGCCGGCGUAACGGUGGAGGGGAUCGGGUUAGGCGGAUGUGGCGGCGACUCUGGACGCGCGCCGGGCCCUUCUCGCGGAUCUCCCCAGCUACGGUGCUCGUCGGGUCCCGUUCGCGCGGGUCGCCUCGGGCGUCGCUCGGCUGGCGCCUAGCAGCUGACUUAG